rnacentral:rRNA from 1 species
UACGGGGGGGGCAAGCGUUGCUCGGAAUCACUGGGCGUAAAGGGUGCGUAGGCGGGUCUUUAAGUCAGGGGUGAAAUCCUGGAGCUCAACUCCAGAACUGCCUUUGAUACUGGUGAGCUUGAGUCCGGAAGAGGUGAGUGGAACUGCGAGUGUAGAGGUGAAAUUCGUAGAUAUUCGCAAGAACACCAGUGGCGAAGGCGGCUCACUGGUCCGGUACUGACGCUGAGACGCGAAAGCGUGGGGAGCAAACAGG